rnacentral:tRNA from 1 species
GGGAACGUGGCUUAGUGGUAGAGUACUUGCCUAGCAUGCAUGAAGGCCUGGGUUCAAUUCCUCUUACCA